rnacentral:rRNA from 1 species
AGAGUUUGAUCCUGGCUCAGAACGAACGCUGGCGGCAUGCCUAACACAUGCAAGUCGAACGAGAUCUUCGGAUCUAGUGGCGCACGGGUGCGUAACGCGUGGGAAUCUGCCCUUGGGUUCGGAAUAACAGUUAGAAAUGACUGCUAAUACCGGAUGAUGACGUAAGUCCAAAGAUUUAUCGCCCAGGGAUGAGCCCGCGUAGGAUUAGCUAGUUGGUGGGGUAAAGGCUCACCAAGGCUACGAUCCUUAGCUGGUCUGAGAGGAUGAUCAGCCACACUGGGACUGAGACACGGCCCAGACUCCUACGGGAGGCAGCAGUGGGGAAUAUUGGACAAUGGGCGAAAGCCUGAUCCAGCAAUGCCGCGUGAGUGAUGAAGGCCCUAGGGUUGUAAAGCUCUUUUACCCGGGAAGAUAAUGACUGUACCGGGAGAAUAAGCCCCGGCUAACUCCGUGCCAGCAGCCGCGGUAAUAC